CCCGGGGUUGAUCCUGCCGGACCCUACUGCUAUCGGGGUGGGACUAAGACAUGCGUGUCGAACGACCCCAAGCCAACAUGAGGUCGUGGCAUACGGCUCAGUAACACGUGGCUAACCUACCCUCGAGACAGGGACAACCCCGGGAAACUGGGGCUAAUCCCAGAUAGAUGAAGACCCCUGGAACGGGUCCUCGUCCAAAAGGCACCACGGUUAUGCUCUGCGGUGUCGCUCAAGGAUGGGGCCGCGUCCGAUCAGGCUGUUGGUGAGGUAAUGGCUCACCAAACCUAUAACCGGUACGGGCCGUGGGAGCGGGAGCCCGGAGAUGGGAACUGAGACAAGGUCCCAGGCCCUACGGGGCGCAGCAGUUACGAAAACUUGUCAAUGCACGAAAGUGUGAACGGGCUACCCCGAGUGCCGUCCGCUGAGGAUGGCUUUUCUCUGCUUUAAGAAGGCAGAGGAAUAAGGCGAGGGCAAGUCUGGUGUCAGCCGCCGCGGUAAUACCAGCUCGCCGAGUGGUAGGGAUGAUUAUUGGGCCUGAAGCGUCCGUAGCUGGCCUUUCAAGUCUCUUGUUAAAUCCAGCGAUUCAAUCGUUGGACUGCAGGAGAUACUGUGAGGCUAGGAGGCGAGAGAAGCCGACGGUAUUUUCGGGGUAGGGGUAAAAUCCUAUAAUCCCGAGAAGACCACCAGUGGCGAAGGCGGUCGGCUAGCGCGCGCUCGACGGUGAGGGACGAAAGCUGGGGGAGCGAACCGGAUUAGAUACCCGGGUAGUCCCAGCUGUAAACGAUGCUGGCUAGGUGUUGAAGCGGCCACGAGCCGCUUCAGUGCCGCAGGAAAGCCAUUAAGCCAGCCGCCUGGGGAGUACGGCCGCAAGGCUGAAACUUAAAGGAAUUGGCGGGGGAGCACCACAAGGGGUGAAGCUUGCGGUUUAAUUGGAGUCAACGCCGGGA
rnacentral:rRNA from 1 species